rnacentral:misc_RNA from 1 species
UCUUCUUUCUUGCUGCCCAAUCAAGCCUUGAGCACCCUCCUUUGGACCUGUCAUGAAGAACUGAUUCUAAACUUCCCCAUUUCAUGUACUCAUACACAAGCAGCCUUUCCUCUCCAACUUUACAGUAACCCAGCAAAGGAACCAGGUUCCGGUGCUUGAUUUUCCCAAUAGUUUCCAUUUCUGCCAUAAACUCUCUGUCUCCCUGGCCUGUAACAUGAACCAGCUUCUUUAUUGCAACAAUACAGUCAUCUCUUAGCUUUGCCUUGUAGACCUGUCCAAACCCUCCAGACCCUAUCAAGCUAUCAUCACUGAAACCAUUGGUAGCUUCAAGCAGAUGUGCAAAGGUCAGCUUACGCAAAGGUUUCUCAAAUGUGGCAAUAUUGAUGCUCAAAGGCUCAGGAACGCCUGAAAGUUUCCAGCUGCUGCUACCUGAAGUUGGAAGGCUUUCAAUAUACUUCUCUCUCUGUUCUUCCUUUUGUUGAAACUUCUUCACACGAUAAAAAGCUAAUGUGAAGACAAAGAUGCACACCACAAAGAAUAUGAUGCCAAUGACCAUCCCAGCUGCCACAGACUGCUUCUUUCCCUGAUGAUAAGAGCCUGGCUGGCGGCCUCCAGAGCUACAAGGAAGCAAUGGUACCCCACAAAGGCCACAAAGGCCAGAAUUGUUUUCGUAUCUGGAUGCUGGGAAAGUGGUUAGCUGACCACCGAAAGGGAUGGGACCAGAAAGGUUGUUAUUAGAGACAUCAAGAUCAUUAAGAAAUGAAAGAGUCCCCAAAGAUGCUGGGAUAGAUCCUUGAAGAUCAUUGUGAGAGAGAUCCAGAACUCCAAUUUCUUUCAGACCUCCAAAACUGUCAGGAAUAUUUCCAAUUAGCUUGUUGUGCCCCAAAUUCAGAACCUGCAAAUAGCUCAUUAUACCAAAAUUUUCAGGGAUAGUUCCAGACAAGGAAUUGUAGGAAAGAUCAAGGUAUAUCAUGCUGCCAUUGCUGGAGAAGGUGUAAACUGUUUUCCCAGAAUAAAUUCUGGUUGUUGGACACGAAUGAACCAUAGGUAAAGUCUCCAGCCUCUCUGCUCUAAUCCCCUCAAAUUCAACAAGUCCUCCAGCUCCUCUGCAUGAUGUCCCGCCUUCAUUUCUCACAAAUGCAAACUGUUUUCCUGAUACAAUUCCAGGAAUAAUUAGGCCAGAUUGAUCUGCAAGCUCAGGUGGGAGGGGGCCAGUAAUGUCGUUGCUGUUCAAGUCAAGCCAGAUGAGGCUCGGACACCUUCCCAGUUCCGGUGGUAUUUGUCCACUGAGUGAAUUGUUACCCAUUUGGAGUAUUGCAAGGUUAACAAGAUUUCCGAUACUAGGAGGGAUUUCUCCACUAAGCUGGUUGCUGGAAAGUGAUAUCCAAAUCAUAUUGGUGCAACUGCCAAUGGACUUAGGAAUAGUUCCAGUAAGGAGAUUGUUGUUGAGAAUCAAAGUUUCUAGGUUUCCUCCAUUCUCGCAAAUGCCUUCCGGAAUAUCACCUGUGAGGUUAUUUGCCCACAUAACAAAGUCAGCAAGAUUUGGCAAGGUCCAAACCUCUGAAGGAAUCGGACCAUUCAGAUUGUUGAAACUAAGAUCAAUUCCUGUCAGGUUUUUGCAGCUUCCAAGCUCUGAGGGCACCUGCCCUGAUAGGUAAUUGUUGGCUAUAAACAACUUCUGCAGCGUAGAGGAGUUUGAGGACGUGCAGAACUCAAAAGGAACAUUCCCGGUGAAGCCAUUCGAACUCAGGUCAAGCACUUGAAGCUGAGUACAGUUUGUCAGAGACAAGGGCACAGGACCAGUUAUGUUGUUGAAUGGUACAUAGAGAUAUUUCAGACUUUGAAGGCUACUGAUAACAGUAGUAAGGAAAUCCCCUGAAAGGAUAUUGUUUCCAAGGUUUAGGGUCUGCAGAGAAGAACAUGAUACAAAAUUCAGCGGCAAGCCACCAGUGAGUUUGUUGGCUGAUAGAUCCAGCUCCUGCAGAGUUCCACAGGCCUGUCCCAACUCAGGAGGAAUAUCACCAAAGAACAGAUUGUCAGCUAGAGACAGCUGCUUCAAUUUUUUGAACCUUCCCAGUGCAGCACCAGGUAUCUUGAGUUGCAGCUCAUUAUGGGAGAGGUCAAGGGUCUCCAAAACCUCACAGUUGUUCAGACUAAUUGGGAAGACGGUGCCGGAAAGCCUGUUCUGUGACAAACUGAACAAACUGAGGUUGCUGCAGCGCCCAAAAUCAAGACUGGAAAGGUUACCAGAGAAGUUAUUGUGGGAUAGAUCCAGAUGCUUGAGAGACGGUGGAGAGUCUGCAACAAAGCUGGGUGGUAUCUCCCCAGAUAGCAAAUUAUAUGAGAGGUCUAAAACUGAGAGACUCUUGCAAGAUAUGGGAGUGGUUUCAAGUUUGCCUGCGAGCUUGUUAUUAGAGAAAUUGAGGAAAUUCAAGUUCUGACAGAUAGAGAGAGAGCGAUUCAAGAAGGUAGAAUCAGAGAUGCGAUUGCCAUAGAGGUCAAGCUCCAGUAAAGAAGGACCAAACUGGACAGUGCCCCCAGGAAUGGAAUUAUGAGAGAGGUUAACACGAGCCAGACGAUUACAGGAGAACAGGAAGGACCUCCCUGGAAGAGGAUCAGAGAUGUUGUUGAAAGACAAGUCAAUAGUCUCUAGAGCGCAUGAGUAGCAGAGGAGGCAGAGAGAUCACCAGCAGAGAACAAAUUGCCUCGUAGAAUAAGAUCGGUGAGAGCUGGCAAGGAAGUAAGGUCAGCGAGGUGUAGACUGCCAAUGAGGCCGGCGUUGGUGAGGUUUAGAGACGUCACACGACGACCAUCAAGAGAACAAGAGACACCAAACCAUGAACAUGGACUAGGGGAAUCGGUAGUCCAGUUAGCUAAGACAUUUUUUGGAUCAGAUUGAACAGAGGAUCUCUUGAAGGUUAGCAACCCCACAAUAUCAUCAUUGCUAC